rnacentral:rRNA from 1 species
UGAGGAAUAUUGGUCAAUGGGCGAGAGCCUGAACCAGCCAUCCCGCGUGCAGGAAGAAGGCCCUAUGGGUUGUAAACUGCUUUUACGCAAGAAGAACAUUCCGGUCGAGACCGGGACUGACGGUACUGCGUGAAUAAGCACCGGCUAACUCCGUGCCAGCAGCCGCGGUAAUACGGAGGGUGCAAGCGUUAUCCGGAUUUAUUGGGUUUAAAGGGUGCGUAGGCGGCUUUUUAAGUCAGUGGUGAAAUCCUGCAGCUCAACUGUAGAACAGCCAUUGAAACUGAAGAGCUUGAGUAAUCUUGAGGUAGGCGGAAUGUGUAGUGUAGCGGUGAAAUGCUUAGAUAUUACACAGAACACCGAUUGCGAAGGCAGCUUACUAAGGAUUUACUGACGCUGAUGCACGAAAGCGUGGGGAUCAAACAGG